rnacentral:rRNA from 1 species
AUUGAACGCUGGCGGCAGGCCUAACACAUGCAAGUCGAGCGGAUGAAGGGAGCUUGCUCCUGGAUUCAGCGGCGGACGGGUGAGUAAUGCCUAGGAAUCUGCCUGGUAGUGGGGGAUAACGUCCGGAAACGGGCGCUAAUACCGCAUACGUCCUGAGGGAGAAAGUGGGGGAUCUUCGGACCUCACGCUAUCAGAUGAGCCUAGGUCGGAUUAGCUAGUUGGUGGGGUAAAGGCCUACCGAGGCGACGAUCCGUAACUGGUCUGAGAGGAUGAUCAGUCACACUGGAACUGAGACACGGUCCAGACUCCUACGGGAGGCAGCAGUAGGGAAUAUUGGACAAUGGGCGAAAGCCUGAUCCAGCCAUGCCGCGUGUGUGAAGAAGGUCUUCGGAUUGUAAAGCACUUUAAGUUGGGAGGAAGGGCAGUAAGUUAAUACCUUGCUGUUUUGACGUUACCAACAGAAUAAGCACCGGCUAACUUCGUG